AACACUAGCACUCCUGGAAGAAAGACAACAGGAUUGUAAUUGCAGAGAACUAGAGAAAGGUAAACAGUAGAGAGAAAGAGAGAGAGCCGUCACAUUUCGUUUUCUUCCAGGGCCUUCUGGGUUGGUACAUAGUAAAAAGCAGUUUGGAGGAGAAGCCUGAGUCCUAUGACAUCCGGCGGGUCAGCCAGUAUUGACUGAGUGCUCACCUCGGUUCUGCGUUGCUACUCUACUGCGCCAGUCUCUGGACCGGGCUUACUCUGAUGCUGCCUGUCAGCAAGAUGGCAGAGACCAAACGUCUAAUGCAGCUCAGGAGGUUUGCCAAGGGUACUGGUGGACUCGUCUUCCUCACUGCUCUUUCCAGUACUGCUUGUUGUUGUGCCAGCACAAUGUCAAAAAUAUAAAUGUGUGCUUUUGUUGCUGGUUUGGAUGCUGGGCUGGUGUAUAACUCCUUCCCUAAGAUGGGAGAUCGAUGGAUCCCUGAUGAUCUGCUGGCCUUUUCCCCUGCCCUCAAGAACUUCUUUGAAAACCCCACGACAAUGCAGUUCGACCACAGAGUUUUGAUGGCGGUAGAUUCAUUUCAACUGGGCAGGGCAUGAGCAGUCAAGCGGCUCCAGGGAGGUGUUACCCACAUGCACAGAGGCAGGAUCA